rnacentral:rRNA from 1 species
GUCCACACCGUAAACGCUGUCUACUAGCUGUUUGUGUAUUUAAUACGUGAGUAGCGAAGCUAACGCGCUAAGUAGACCGCCUGGGGAGUACGGCCGCAAGGUUAAAACUCAAAUGAAUUGACGGGGGCCCGCACAAGCGGUGGAGCAUGUGGUUUAAUUCGAUGCAACGCGAAGAACCUUACCUACUCUUGACAUCCAGGAAAUUUUUCAGAGAUGAAUUAGUGCCUUCGGGAAUCCUGAGAC